GGCCCUGUUGUCUAACGGUUAGGACGCUACCCUCUCAAGGUGGAGAUUCGGGUUCGAUUCCCGACAGGGUCA
rnacentral:tRNA from 1 species